UACGAGAGGCCCAAACGUUAUUCGGAAUUACUGGGCUUAAAGAGUUCGUAGGCGGCAUGAAAAGUAGGGUGUGAAAGCCCUCGGCUCAACCGAGGAAUUGCGCUCUAAACUGUCGUGCUAGAGGAACCUAGAGGUGAGCAGAACUGAUGGUGGAGCGGUGAAAUGCGUUGAUAUCAUCAGGAAUACCGGAGGCGAAGGCGGCUCACUGGGGGUUUUCUGACGCUGAGGAACGAAAGCCGGGGGAGCGAACGGG
rnacentral:rRNA from 1 species